GCCCCGGUCGUUUAGCCCGGCCAAAGGACGCCCGGCUAUGGAUGCGGGCCUCUCGAGCCCGUGACCCGGGUUCAAAUCCCGGCCGGGGCA
rnacentral:tRNA from 1 species